rnacentral:rRNA from 1 species
CAGCCGCCGCGGUAAUACCGGCGGCCCGAGUGGCGGUCACUAUUAUUGGGCUUAAAGCGUCCGUAGCCGGGUUGGGAAGUCCUCCGGGAAAUCUGGCCGCUUAACGGUCAGAAUGCCGGAGGAUACUCCCAGCCUAGGGACCGGGAGAGGCCGAGGGGAUUCCCGGAGGAGGGGGGAAAUCCUAUAAUCCCGGGAGGACCACCUGUGGCGAAGGCGCUCGGCUGGAACGCGUCCGACGGUGAGGGACGAAGGCCAGGGGAGCAAACCGGAUUAGAUACCCGGGUAGUCCUGGCUGUAAACGAUGCGGACUUUGUGUCGGACAAGCUAUGAGCUUGUCCGGUGCCGGAGGGAAACCGUUAAGUCCGCCGCCUGGGGAGUACGGCCGCAAGGCUGAAACUUAAAGGAAUUGGCGGG